rnacentral:tRNA from 1 species
GAAGGUAUAGCUCAAGUGGUAGAGCACAUGCUUAGCAUGCAUGAGGCCCUGGGUUCAAUCCCCAGUACCUCCU